GAGCCUCUGGGCAAUCUGGUUGUGACAUCUGUCACCACAGUGGUCUCAAGGUUUUAUUCAGUCACCUGCCCAAUUAGGUGGGUGUCCUCUUUCACCACAGCUCUCCCAUGUGGGUUCCUCCUGAAUUCAUGACUCCAUUAGGAUACUUUUAGCCACGAGCAAUACAAAACUUAACUAAAAGUAUGCUAAACAUAAAGGACAUUUGAAUUCCACCACAUUGGAGCUUC
rnacentral:sRNA from 1 species